rnacentral:tRNA from 1 species
GCCUUUAUAGCUCAGUGGUUAGAGCACUGGUCUAGUAAACCAGGGGUCAAGAGUUCGAGUCUCUCUAAAGGCU